rnacentral:tRNA from 1 species
CGCACUGUAGCUCCAGUCUGGUAGAGCGGGAGCCUGAAAAGCUCUGCGUCGGUGGUUCAAAUCCACCCGGUGCGA